UACGAAGGGGGCUAGCGUUGUUCGGAAUUACUGGGCGUAAAGCGUGCGCAGGCGGUUAUGCAAGACAGAUGUGAAAUCCCCGGGCUCAACCUGGGAACUGCAUUUGUGACUGCAUGACUAGAGUACGGCAGAGGGGGAUGGAAUUCCGCGUGUAGCAGUGAAAUGCGUAGAUAUCGGGAGGAACACCUGUGGCGAAAGCGGCUCACUGGACCAUAACUGACGCUGAUGCACGAAAGCUGGGGGAGCAAACAGG
rnacentral:rRNA from 1 species